GGCCCGGUGAACCUGCGGAAGGAUCAUUA
rnacentral:rRNA from 1 species